UACGUAGGGGGCAAGCGUUAUCCGGAAUCAUUGGGCGUAAAGCGCGUGUAGGCGGUUCUGUAAGUCCGCUCUGAAAGCCCAGGGCUCAACCCUGGGAGGCGGGUGGAUACUACAGAACUGGAGUACGGAAGAGGAGAUUGGAAUUCCUGGUGUAGCGGUGAAAUGCGCAGAUAUCAGGAGGAACACCAACAGCGAAGGCAGAUCUCUGGGACGUUACUGACGCUGAGACGCGAAAGCGUGGGGAGCAAACAGGG
rnacentral:rRNA from 1 species